CAGAGAGAGGAUAGUAGUCAGUCGGUCGGACGAAACCAACGGGCGGUGUUCCACGCGCUUUUUAAAGCUGCUGUGCGAUAGUCGAUCGAGUGAAAUAUCUUGAUCAUGUUCCUACGGGAGCGGUGCUCGUCGUCCACGUUAUAUGUUUAUUUAUUCGGUUUUAAUCGGUGAUAUGGAUAAGUUUAUUAUUAAAACGAUUCAACGGAUGAUGUGUUGUUAAAAAUGAUGAUAUAAGAAAACGGAAUAAAGGAAAGAAAAGGAAGUAAGGAAUAAGGAAUAAUAAAACGAGACUCGAUCGUCAUGUCCGUCGAAUGCUCCACCACGUUUCUUCUUCUGCUUUUGCGCGAUCACGGACGGUGAUACGAGGAAGUGGAUAUAUAUAUAUAUAUAUGUAUAUAUAUGACUAACAGGCAUGUGAGCAGCGAGCAUGCCAUGCUCGCUUAACGGAGAGGUAUACGUGUUGCACUCCAAGCGCAACAUGCACCUUUCCGUGCACCUACCGCAUCGCCAACGAGAGGAAGAACAUAAUCAACAACUACUAUUACAACAACAACUACAACAACAACAACAACAACAACAACAACAACAACUACUACUACUACUACUACUACUACUGCUACUACUACUAUUACUAUUACUACAACAACUGCAACAACAACAACAACAACAAGAAGAGCAACGACAAAAUCAAGAACAAGAAGAGGUACGACAAAGGUUAAAGUAGCGGCAAAAUUGGCAACAAGAAGAAAACGAGUUUUGGAUUCACGGAUUGAUUGGAAUAACGAGCAACAGUGUCAUGUACAGUGAAGUAUAUGCAGUUAUGAUUAUCGAAUUCGAUGCCUCUACGAAGAUUUCCAGACAUCGUGGGAUGUAGUUGACCCCCUGCUGCCUUUCCAGCCGGAAAGAGAGGACAACCGAGGGAAAGAAAAAAAGAGAGAGAGAGAAAGAGAGAAAGAGAGAAAGGGAGAAAGGCAGACGGACAGACAGACAGACAGAAGGGUACAGAUAGAUGG